UACGGGGGGGGCAAGCGUUGUUCGGAAUUACUGGGCGUAAAGGGCGCGUAGGCGGCCUGCUAAGUCGGACGUGAAAUCCCUCGGCUCAACCGAGGAACUGCGUCCGAUACUGGUGGGCUUGAAUCCGGGAGGGAUGUGGAAUUCCAGGUGUAGCGGUGAAAUGCGUAGAUAUCUGGAGGAACACCGGUGGCGAAGGCGACAUCCUGGACCGGUAUUGACGCUGAGGCGCGAAAGCCAGGGGAGCAAACGGG
rnacentral:rRNA from 1 species